rnacentral:rRNA from 1 species
CAGUAGCCACGGUAAAACGGAGGGGGCUAGCGUUGUUCGGAAUUACUGGGCGUAAAGCGUACGUAGGCGGCUUUGUAAGUUAGAGGUGAAAGCCUGGUGCUCAACACCAGAACUGCCUUUAAGACUGCAUCGCUUGAACGUCGGAGAGGUGAGUGGAAUUCCGAGUGUAGAGGUGAAAUUCGUAGAUAUUCGGAAGAACACCAGUGGCGAAGGCGGCUCACUGGACGACUGUUGACGCUGAGGUACGAAAGCGUGGGGAGCAAACAGGAUUAGAUACCCCAGUAGUCCCUGUCUCUUAUAC